AGGGCUGGUAGUCUGCACCUGUAGUUCCAGCUUGAUUCCAGGAGAAAGGAUCGCUUGAUUCCAGGAGUUCUACACUGUAGUGCACUGUGUAAAUAGAUGGGGUGUUCGCGCUUAAGUGCAGGAGGGAGGGGCCCCCCAGGUUGCCUAAGGAGGAAUGUACUGGCCCAGAUCAGAAACAGAGCAUAUCAAAACUCCCAUGCUGAUCAGUAGUGGGAUCAUGCCUGUGAACAGCCACUGUGCUCCAGCCUGGGCAACAUAGGGAGACCCUGUCUCU
rnacentral:SRP_RNA from 1 species